CAAUAUUUUAAAUGUAUGAGCUCAGGUUACUUAAGCUCUGAGUCCUACUCAAAGCAUUUUUUGCUGACUUGGGUUUGAAGAUAUGCAAGUCCUUCAACACAUCUGAUUAGUCAGAGAGAAUUUCCCAGCUUGCCAGAGGAACUCUUUCCGCUUCAUCCUUCCACACUCAGGGUUGGUACACCCUUAAUUUCUAUCCUUUACUCCAAGACUUUGAAGAUCAAGCCUACAAUUCUAGCCUCAUUUCUUCUAAGAAGCAAGCAGGCUUCUUACCCCUUGGGCCUCUGAAGGCCUGACUUCUCAGAGCUCCCCCAAGUAGACAUAUAAUUGAGGCCCCUCUGUGAGCCUCACUGCACUCAGGUCUAUCCCAUAUAUACAUUUGGGUAUUAUCACUUCAUCGUACCACAAAGAACAAGUCUAAGGUGAACUAUACCUAUCUUCCUAUCUGUACCUUGCUUCUUCUCUUUUCCUCUGCAUUUGGUGUCUUUGUGGACUUAGCCCACUUCACAGGCAACGACUUAACUUUUCCAGCCCUUUGAUAACUGGAGCCAAUGCCACAGUAUCUCACUGCAGAUGAGAUGCCUACUUUCUGCCCUGUCUCCUGCCUGCCCUCCUUUGAAGAGCCCAGACGUUCAUGGUCUUGUCUGACAUUUGUUUUCUCCAACAUACAGAAUCUGUUAUGAAUAGUCUCCACUUGUUUGCCUAUGAACUUGGAAAGCAUGAAUUUACCGGUAGCACAGAUGCUACCCACUUCUCUGAACACCUGUGAUUCUGGCACUCAAACGCCUCUCUCCCUGCUACAGAGGACACUGUCCCAUCAAUGGAAAAUGCCCCCUACCGUGCACACAGCUUCCGUAUCUCCUUGAGCAACCACAUUUAGAAUGGGACUUGCUGUCAUCUGAUUGCAUUAUGCACAUGUUGGAUGCUCAUCCAACUUUCUGAUACAUAACACUUCUGAUAUCUGAUCUUCUGAUCACUUCACUAUCACUGUCUGAUACAUAACACUUCUACUUGCUUUUGGCAAGAGAGAUGCUAACUCAAAACUGCUAUCUUAACAAAGUAGUAUGACUAGCCACUUUUCAAGUUAAUAUUGUGAAGAUGAGUUGACAUCUUAGAAGACAGAGAGUAGCUAAUUAGGAGCUCAUCUGAAGAGGAAAUUUGGAAAGGCUGUUUAAUGUGUCCAAGAUGUUUUAAAAUCAUUCUCUUCACAUUGACAGCCACCAUCACCACCACCACUUUAAGCUCUGACUUAGUGUCUGCUAUAUAUUAUUUUAUUUAAACCUUGAAACAAUCCUGGUGAGGUUUCAUUGGAGAUAAAUAUUAGUAUCUCUGUCUUACAAACGAGGAAACUGAAACUCAGAGAUGUUGUGUGAACUUGACCAAUGGCAUACAGUUGAUAAGUAGCAAAUUUGAGAUCCAGUCCAAAGCCGGAUGAAGUGAGAUGCUCAAUAUUAUCAUAAAGAAUGGGGGAUUUCUACAGAACUCCAAAGCAGAGUAAAGAUCUUCUUGUCUAAUGCCAACAACUAUCACACUAAGGAGUUCUAAAAAAAAAACAUAGAAUGGUGUGAAAAAAAACAACACACAAGAUUAGGAAUCAGAAGACCUGGAUUUUAAUCUACACUUAACUACUUUCUAGCAGAAUGAUCAUGGACAAAUUGACUUACCAUGGCUGAGCAUCAAUUUUCUCAUCAAAAAUAGAGAUUAAGGGCUGUUGUGAAUAUUUAUAUUAACUGUUUGCUCUACAAAAUUAUAGUUUGACCAUAAGCAUUUUCCAGGAGUCUCAUCAUCAAAUCAUGGGAAGAACCUGGCUUCUCUACUCAAGUCAAGUUGGACAGCCAUUGCCAAGGCUGUCCAAAGGCAAUGGUGUUCUCUUUCCCAUAGCAUCAUGAUGACACAGGGAGAGUGACCAUGUCAGGCCAUGGGGGAUGCCGCUUUAAUAGGCUGACCACAUUUGGAACACAGACAGGACCUCUUCUGAGUAACCACAGGGAGAGGACAAACAGACUCAACGGCACUCCUCCAAGUGGCUGGCCAGUGCCCAUGAGCUUUGGAACACUGUGGUUAACCCCAGACUCUGUCAGGAGGGAAAAGUCCCAACUCUCCAUUUAGUUGCUUCCACAAAAGUAAACCAAAAUGAGUCAUAUAGAGAUGGAGAAACCAACAGAGACAGCCUUCCAUGCAAGGAUCACCAGAAAGAAUUAAAUCUGGAGACAGGAGAAUCUGAAGAACCUGGGCGGCUGAUGUUCCUUCUCGUAACAGUGAUGCUGACUUCUCUGUUCAAAGAGGAAGCCACUGACCAAGGAAGGACUGAGGUGGUUUCCAGUAAGGCGGAUGGAAGGAGGCAUCUCUUCCCAUGGCCAGGCAGUGACGCACAGACCGAAGCUUGGAAACAAAACCAUCCUGAAGAGGAACAACAUCUUAGGAGCUGUGCGCUAUUUGGCUUCACGGGUCAGCUGGCUGUGACUCAUCUCGGCGUGGACUCAGGUGGUGGGGAGACGGAGGUCCACAUGCAGAUGUGUCCCACUGCUUGCCUGGAGACAUCACAGAAAGGAAGGCUUCCCCAAAAAGAACAACAGUGAUGAAGUUGACAGAUGCUUCCCUGGGAACCCUGACAACACGUUGUGAGGAAGCUCAUGCCACAUGGAGAAGCUGACAUGGAGUGGAACUGAGCCCUCCCUCUAGCAGGCAGUACCAAUUUGCCAGCCAUGAGAGACACUGAAGAUACAGAUACCACUGAAUUCCCACCACGUACCUAUGUUCUCUUCAGUCUCCCUCCUGAGGGUGGACAGGAAAUGACCUAUUCUCCUGGUGGCAGAGGUCAGCUAAGCUUUAUCAAGCCGUGUGGAUGCCCGGGCACUGACUAAGGAGAAUGGAGAUGAUAAAAGGCUAACCCAAGGGACAGCAGGGACUGUGAGGAGUAGCCCCAGGAAAGCCUGGAUUCCAGCCCACUUCUUUUUUUUUUUCCUUCCUUUUUGAUUUAUAUGCAUUUUUUUUGUUUUUUUAUUUUUUAUUAACAUAUAAUGUAUUAAUUG